rnacentral:sRNA from 1 species
AAAAAAAAUUAAAGUAAGCCCCACAAGUAGGGGUGUCAAAAUGGGUCAAAAUUCAUGGGUCAACUCAACUCAACUCAACCCAUGAACCCUAAUGGGUUGAUUUUUAACUCAAAUGAGUUGAUGGGUCAAAUGAGUUGAUGAAUCAAUUGGUUUGAUGAGUAAAAUGAGUUGGGUUGUAAUGGGUUAAUAGUUUUAAUGGUUUACCCAAUUAACCCAUCAAAUUUUGUAAAAUUGAAUUAAACCAACUAAAAUCUCUAAACCAAUAUUUAACCAACACAUCUAAACCAAUUUAAUAAAAUCAUCCUCAAAUUUAAGAAAUCAAUCGUUUGAACAGUUUUGUUUCGUUGAGUUAAAAUUUGAAGGUCAUAGAGAUUGUAACCUAAAGAGACGGGGAUUUUAAUCUUCUCGGCCCCUUUUGAUUGAAUCAAUUUUUGAAAAACUUCUACUUAUUCUCACUGCCCCCUCUUCUUCUCAAUAUUUCUGAAAACCAACUCUACCCUCUCUUUAUGAUGGGACCCUUAUCUUAUCAUUCUUUAUUUCUUUUUUAAAUUUUAUAUCUAACCAACUCUAAAAUCAACUAAUCAAAUUCAUUCUCUCUCCUUUCCCAAUAACCAUCAAAAUCUAUUAAAAUGCCUAAUAAACUCAUUCUUCUUCUUCUUCUUCCUACCAUUUGCUCCCUAAAAACGUUUUUCACUUUUUUAUUUUCUUUAAUUCUUCUCCAUACACCAUUUAAGUUCAUCAUUAAAUCAACACAAAAAAAUCGUAUCUACAUAUCUUUUCUCUUCUUUGUGUUCUUCUUCAUAGACCAUUAAAAAUAUUUGUUUACUUUUUCUUAUAGUAAGAUGUGAUGUUGGUAACUAGUAUACUUGGUUGAAUUCGCAGAUUAAAUACAGGUUUUUUUAGAAAAAUUUGGGGAUUAUAAAUUUAGGACAAUUGAAACAAAUGUGUACGACUAUGUUGAUAGACUAAUACGAAAAUAUAAAAUUAUAGACUAUUUUUUUUCUCUUUUCCAUUUUAAGUGAUAAUCAAAAAGACUUCAGUCAUAAGCUUUGCUUAUAAUGAAUAUGAUUAAUUUUCUUGUCGUAUCUGAACAAAUUAAGUUGUUCUGUCCUGGUACAACCAAGAACAACCCUUACAACUAAGGUCUAUUGCCUUGUCUUGUUUUUAGAAUUUUAUAAAAUAUGAAAAUUUAAGACCAAA